rnacentral:rRNA from 1 species
CAGGAUGAACGCUGGCGGCGUGCCUAACACAUGCAAGUCGAACGGAACUUUUACGAGCAAGGCUUCGGCCAAGCAAGUUCAAGUUAGUGGCGGACGGGUGAGUAACGCGUGAGCAACCUGCCUUUCAGAGGGGGAUAACGUUUGGAAACGAACGCUAAUACCGCAUAACGUAUGGAUAUCGCAUGGUAAUCAUACCAAAGAUUUUAUCGCUGAGAGAUGGGCUCGCGUCCGAUUAGGUAGUUGGUGGGGUAACGGCUCACCAAGCCGACGAUCGGUAGCCGGACUGAGAGGUUGAACGGCCACAUUGGGACUGAGACACGGCCCAGACUCCUACGGGAGGCAGCAGUGGGGAAUAUUGCACAAUGGGCGCAAGCCUGAUGCAGCAACGCCGCGUGAGGGAAGACGGUUUUCGGAUUGUAAACCUCUGUCUUUGGUGACGAAGAAGUGACGGUAGCCAAGGAGGAAGCCACGGCUAACUACGUGCCAGCCGCAGC